GAAUAAUGUACUCAGACACCGAUAUUCAGUGAAAGAGUGCACCAGAGGGCCAGGCCACUCACAGAAAGGGUUGUGGCAGCUGCGUGCCCUGACUAUCUGGCCCUGUGGGCCUUUAUUCAGCACAGAUUUAAUGACAAAGGCUUUGAGUCAACACACCUGUGGGUAAUUAAUCUGGUCGCAGUCCCCCGGAGAGAGCAGUCCUACAAAUGAUCAAAGGAGCUGGGACAGUUAUAUUCAUCAGAACAGCACGGUGUCAAGGCCCUCACCCCCAGAAAGCUUAGGAGACACUGUUUUAUGGAGGAGAGUGAGAUUGGAGGAAGCCCUGACUCCAGGUCUCCUGAUCCUUCCUACACAAAGCGAAGCUGAAAAAAAGUGCAGGACACUCCAUUUCCUCCUGGGACCAGACAGGGAAGCCAGAGCCACCAUGGAUGUCAAAUUCCGGCAAGGAAACACCAGUAUAGCAAAAUCUCCACAUCACAUUUUAAAGCUCACACAAUGGCUCAAAGAGAACCCACAUCAAAAAACCGAAUUCCUAGCUCAGGUGAGAUCACCAAAGUUGCCUGUGAGGCUUCGUGGAACCUGCAGGUAGAAAGGACAUCUUUAUUUCGAGCUGCAGCCCAGUUGCUUCUGCGUCUUGGAGCCCCUUGAAAGGACCCUCUCCCUUCAACAGUACAUAGGGAGGCCAUUUCUGGGGAGAAAUGUAGACUGUCCUUAGACUCCUGAGGUUUUUACACUUGCUUGCUGACUCUGUGGACUUUGACUUCAUCAUUAAACAUCUUAUAAUGAUGUAAUUUGCUUUGACUGUAAGUGUAGAACAGGACGCUGUUCCUGAAUCAGGAAACAAGGGACUGGUGACCUGAACUGCCACCACCCUCCCUGGUGCUCAGAUGCAAUGAAAUCGUGAGGCAACAAAUCUAUGGCUAGGUAAAGGGUCAACUCCAUUUCAGCAAAUGUUUCAGAUGUUCCUUCCUGCCUAGUAAUGUUCCAGCUUUACCCCAGCCUUAAUCUUUUAAAAUGUAUAUUUUCC
rnacentral:lncRNA from 1 species